CUGCUGCCUCCCGUAGGAGUUUGGACCGUGUCUCAGUUCCAAUGUGGCCGAUCACCCUCUAAGGUCGGCUACCCAUCGUAGGUUUGGUGGGCCGUUACCUCACCAACUGCCUAAUGGGACGCGAGCUCAUCCAUAUCCGAUAAAUCUUUCACCUCAAAAAGAUGCCUUUUCGUGGUCAUAUGCGGUAUUAGCAGUCAUUUCUAACUGUUAUCCCCCUGAUAUGGGCAGAUUGCUCACGCGUUACUCACCCGUCCG
rnacentral:rRNA from 1 species